GAUGAACGCUGGCGGCGUGCUUAACACAUGCAAGUCGAACGAUGAAGCCCAGCUUGCUGGGUGGAUUAGUGGCGAACGGGUGAGUAACACGUGAGUAACCUGCCCUUAACUCUGGGAUAAGCCUGGGAAACUGGGUCUAAUACCGGAUAGGAGCGUCCACCGCAUGGUGGGUGUUGGAAAGAUUUAUCGGUUUUGGAUGGACUCGCGGCCUAUCAGCUUGUUGGUGAGGUAAUGGCUCACCAAGGCGACGACGGGUAGCCGGCCUGAGAGGGUGACCGGCCACACGGGGACUGAGAGACGGCCCAGACUCGUACGGGAGGCAGCAGUGGGGAAUAUUGCACAAUGGGCGCAAGCCUGAUGCAGCGACGCCGCGUGAGGGAUGACGGCCUUCGGGUUGUAAACCUCUUUCAGUAGGGAAGAAGCGAAAGUGACGGUACCUGCAGAAGAAGCACCGGCUAACUACGUG
rnacentral:rRNA from 1 species